rnacentral:rRNA from 1 species
AAUAGAUACCCGGGUAGUCCAUGCCGUAAACGUUGGGCGCUAGAUGUGGGGACCAUUCCACGGUUUCCGUGUCGCAGCUAACGCAUUAAGCGCCCCGCCUGGGGAGUACGGCCGCAGGGCUAAAACUCAAAGGAAUUGACGGGGGCCCGCACAAGCGGCGGAGCAUGCGGAUUAAUUCGAUGCAACGCGAAGAACCUUACCAAGGCUUGACAUAUACGAGAACGCUCUAGAAAUAGAGAACUCUUUGGACACUCGUAUACAGGUGGUGCAUGGUUGUCGUCAGCUCGUGUCGUGAGAUGUUGGGUUAAGUCCCGCAACGAGCGCAACCCUCGUUCUAUGUUGCCAGCGGUUCGGCCGGGAACUCAUAGGAGACUGCCGGGGUCAACUCGGAGGAAGGUGGGGAUGACGUCAAAUCAUCAUGCCCCUUAUGUCUUGGGCUUCACGCAUGCUACAAUGGCCGGUACAAAGGGCUGCAAUACCGUAAGGUGGAGCGAAUCCCGAAAAGCCGGUCUCAGUUCGGAUUGAGGU